rnacentral:rRNA from 1 species
GACGAACGCUGGCGGCGUGCUUAACACAUGCAAGUCGAACGGAAAGGCCCUGCUUUUGUGGGGUGCUCGAGUGGCGAACGGGUGAGUAACACGUGAGUAACCUGCCCUUGACUUUGGGAUAACUUCAGGAAACUGGGGCUAAUACCGGAUAGGAGCUCCUGCUGCAUGGUGGGGGUUGGAAAGUUUCGGCGGUUGGGGAUGGACUCGCGGCUUAUCAGCUUGUUGGUGGGGUAGUGGCUUACCAAGGCUUUGACGGGUAGCCGGCCUGAGAGGGUGACCGGCCACAUUGGGACUGAGAUACGGCCCAGACUCCUACGGGAGGCAGCAGUGGGGAAUAUUGCACGAUGGGCGGAAGCCUGAUGCAGCAACGCCGCGUGCGGGAUGACGGCCUUCGGGUUGUAAACCGCUUUCGCCUGUGACGAAGCGUGGGUGACGGUAAUGGGUAAAGAAGCACCGGCUAACUACGUG